CCUAAACUGUGGUUUGAGUUUUAAUUGCAUUAUCACGCAAAGACUUAAAACUCAAAUUAUUAGGCACUUUAAAAAAAAAAUAAAAAAAAAAGGUAGAGAGAAUAAAAACAUACACUUUAACUAAUCUGUGGACAUAAUCUUUGAAGGGUUUGGUUUAGAGACAUUGCCACACAAACAAUAGUUCCAGAAAUGUCCCAGCUAUGAAGAAAAUUAACUCUAUCUUUGACAAAACCAGAACAGGAGAUAAAGUAUUACCCACAACACUGGGUGGUAUCCACUGCAGACAGCAGGUUGGGAAAGGAGCUGGGAUGUCAUUCUGGAUGUCUGAAACAGAUAAAAGGACUUUUAGAACAUCAGCAACGGUCUUGACAUGUCAGAAAGACAAGAGCUGAUAAACCCUGGAAAAAGAAACAACAUCUCCCAGUCUGACACUGCUGAACACAUGGUGAAAGUCUGCACCACUGAUCUCAGCUCCACUGCUGGCAGCAAAAGCUUUGCCUCCAUGUCUUGCUCUCCCCUUGCAGCUGUGCAAAGCCAUGAAGAUUAACUGAGUCAAGUACUGUGUUAUCAAUCCGCUGUUUAAUUGACUUGAUCCCAUUCUCAGCACUGUUAAAAUUCAGAUGAGUCCACUCUAUCUAUUGCCAGGUAUAGCAUUUUUUUCACCUCCUAGAAAAUACAGGGUUUGUUCAGAAUUUAACCAGUUUCCAGUAUUUACCAUGGGUCACCCUACUUUUUCUUAUUGUGCUGAGAACCAGGUCCAGAACAGGCAAUGUGUUUGUGUCUUGGUACAUAUAGAUGAAUUU
rnacentral:lncRNA from 1 species